CUACGGGACGCUGCAGUGGGGAAUAUUGGACAAUGGGGGAAACCCUGAUCCAGCAAUGCCGCGUGUGUGAAGAAGGCCUGCGGGUUGUAAAGCACUUUCGGUUGGGAGGACUGCCUCUAGCACUAAUAUUGUUGGAAGUUGACGUUACCUUCAGAAGAAGCACCGGCUAACUCCGUGCCAGCAGCCGCGGUAAUACGGAGGGUGCAUGCGUUAAUCGGAAUUACUGGGCGUAAAGCGCGCGUAGGCGGCUAGAUCAGUCGGGUGUGAAAGCCCCGGGCUUAACCUGGGAACUGCAUCCGAUACUGUCUAGCUUGAGUACAGGAGAGGAGAGUGGAAUUCCACAUGUAGCGGUGAAAUGCGUAGAUAUGUGGAGGAACACCAAUGGCGAAGGCAGCUCUCUGGCCUGAUACUGACGCUGAGGUGCGAAAGCGUGGGGAGCAAACAGGAUUAGAUACCCUAGUAGUC
rnacentral:rRNA from 1 species